GCGCCCGUAGCUCAGCUGGAUAGAGCGUCUGCCUCCGGAGCAGAAGGCCUUGGGUUCGAAUCCCGACGGGCGUACCA
rnacentral:tRNA from 2 species